CACGUGAUGUCAAGUCGGCCGACCGGUCCAGAUAUUUAGCAUGACAGAUAUUCGUUUGGCAUUGGCGACGCUGAUAGCACUCAUACA